UCAGGCCUAACACAUGCAAGUCGAGCGGGGUUUUCGGACCUAGCGGCGGACGGGUGAGUAAUGCGUAGGAAGCUACCCGAUAGAGGGGGAUACCAGUUGGAAACGACUGUUAAUACCGCAUAAUGUCUACGGACCAAAGUGUGGGACCUUCGGGCCACAUGCUAUCGGAUGCGCCUACGUGGGAUUAGCUAGUUGGUGAGGUAAUGGCUCACCAAGGCGACGAUCUCUAGCUGGUUUGAGAGGAUGAUCAGCCACACUGGAACUGAGACACGGUCCAGACUCCUACGGGAGGCAGCAGUGGGGAAUAUUGGACAAUGGGCGCAAGCCUGAUCCAAAAGUGCCGCGUGUGUGAAGAAGGCCUUCGGGUGUAAAUCAAGAGAGUAGGGAGGAAGCGUUGAGUGUUAAU
rnacentral:rRNA from 1 species